rnacentral:rRNA from 1 species
UGCGUAGGCGGAUAUUUAAGUCAGAUGUGAAAUUCCAGGGCUCAACCUUGGAACUGCAUUUGAAACUGGAUAUCUAGAGUGCAGGAGAGGAAAGCGGAAUUCCUAGUGUAGCGGUGAAAUGCGUAGAGAUUAGGAAGAACACCAGUGGCGAAGGCGGCUUUCUGGACUGUAACUGACGCUGAGGCACGAAAGCGUGGGGAGCAAACAGGAUUAGAUACCCUGGUAGUCCACGCUGUAAACGAUGAGUGCUAGGUGUGGGGGGAUUUCGACAUCCUCUGUGUCGCAGUAAACGCAAUAAGCACUCCGCCUGGGGAGUACGGUCGCAAGACUAAA